AGCAGCGGGCGAUGCUUGCGUCCGUUUCAUUCAGAGCGUGCCAAAAACGCCCAAACAGUUGAUGCACGCGAUACUCAGCGGGAAUUCGGGACACCGCACCGGAGUCGCCGACAGUUUCGGCCGUAUGGAGGCAACAAGCGCGCAAGUGUCGGGUUCUUCACUGAUUUCGAACAGAAAAUGACGAGAGGUUUGCGUCGUUUCGCGAUAGCCUUCGGCGCUGGGCUUGAAGUUGCGCACACGCCCUGAACUCCUGCGCUCCGUCGACGAAAGCCGGCAGUGCGCACGGGAAUCGGCGCUAUACGAUUCCCAUCGGUGACUGAAUCCCGGGCGACAUCGAUGCAUCACGAGCGUGGGUGCUUGCUGCGACACGAAUAGAAACAAUCGUAUGAAACAGCGUCGGAUGCACGCCAUGGUGUCCAGAAGGCUGAGCGGACGUCAGUUGGCGAGGCAAUCGAAAAGCAUUGCCCAGCUCGUGUGUGAUGCCACCGGCUAUCAUGCACGCGAGCUCUCUCUCUCUCUGUGUGACGACUCGAACGCCUCCAUUAUUCACUGGGUAUGACCAGUGCUUCGAGAGCGUCCAGCGGCCUUGUGUCGAGCGAACGUUCCCGAAAAUCGUUUCGUAAUCAGCCUGGGCAUCUUGCUGAAAAGCUGCAGACUUGCGUCCAGAAACACAAUGCAUCAGUGACCAGGAGAACGCGCACUGGAUGCUCACCCCGCAGGAACACACCGCUGUGCUUCGGGUGAGCAAUCCAUCAAGGCUGCAGCGACGUGCACCCAUCCACCGGUAACGGUAUUCCUCAACAGUAUUUGAGCGAUCAUGGGGUUCCACGAAUCAACUGUAGUGCGUAUAUCGCACCGCAGCCUGCCGUCGAUACCACGACGGCAGCAGGCUGCCUCGGAGCAGCGCGUGAGCGGCCCAAGCCUCUGACGGUGCUUUCCCUUUACCACGAACAAAGGAAUCAGACCGCAUAGGAUCUUUCGCAUCGGGAUCGAGUGCUGUUGCGGUGCACGCACCAGGCGACUUUCGGUCAAGUUCCCGUGACGAAUCCGCUUUCGCACGAUUAACGCUACAGGCAUCGCAAGCCUUAGGAUAUCACGAAAACGACGACCUGCGAACGCAGCACCGCCCAACGCUCAGCGCACACAUAGAGGUAGAGCGCUGGCCGCAGGCACGGUAUACCGCACCCUGUGCAUGCGUGUUCACUCCAAAUACUGCAGCGCAGGCUUAAGCUCAAACUGCUGAUCGAAUAGGUCGAGGUCAACUCCUAGAUUUCGUUGGACGUAGCUUCGAAUGACGUAGAGAUUAUCGGUCCAACGAUUUGCCUGUUCAAUCAGGGUCUUGGUUUCGGUUUCGCGCUGCGCCAGGACAUCAGGGUCGCACUCGAGGUAGGACUCGAGCGUUCGUUGCCGUUCACGCCAGGCCGCUUCACAAGCUGCAAGCCUCUCCAGUACGGCUGUACGCUCAACGCUGUCCUCGCGACCCGCCUGGACUUGGACCAGCUGGCGCUGUAGCGCUGUCAGUUUUUGGCGUUUCUCCGCCAGCUGCUGUUGCAGCGCAUCAAGCCGACGUUGCCUCUUGGCAACGGCUUCUGAGGGCAAACACCAGUAAAUGGUCUGGACACCGCAUUUAUCCGAGUUCACCAGAUCAUCGUCUACGAGCGACUGUAACACAUCUUUGACGGACUGGGUGAUGAUUCCUUUCAGUUUCGGGGCGAUUUUCUCCAGCUCCUUUAACGUGUAAAAAUCGCAA